rnacentral:lncRNA from 1 species
CACGGCCGGAGCCCGCGGCUGCCUCGGCGAACCUGCCCGCGCGGCGCCAGGGAAGAAUCCGGGCGGUGGCGCGGGGCGCGUGCGCUCGGCGAGGGCGCCCUCUCCAGGGCCGUCUUCAGUCUGCGGGACGGGGCUGAGUGCCUGCUGGCCAGCGAGAUAGGAAAAUGCAUUAAGAACCUUUGGCGUGUUUGAGAAAAUAAGCUAAGAAUGGUCAGGUUCACACUGACCCUG